rnacentral:pre_miRNA from 1 species
GACAUACUCCCUCCGUUCGGAAUUACUUGUCUUGAAAAUGAAUGUAUCUAGAACUAAAAUACGUCUAGAUACAUCCAUUUCCGUGACAAGUAAUUCCGAACGGAGGGAGUAGAUU